rnacentral:lncRNA from 1 species
GGAAAAGAUUACCUUCAGAUGUUCCAUCUUAACCUUAUCAAAAAAUUCUGCAACACCGUAAUGGUAAAUUGGUAACAGGCAUUUUCACUCUCAACUUAACAUUUCCCCUCACUCUUAUUAUUAUUGGCAGUUUUUAUGUUCUUUUUCUUAUCACCACCUGCUAAAAAUGAGGAAACUAUUUGAAACGAUGGAUUGGGUUAAGCGUUUCUUAAAAUAAACUACUAAUAUUAAAUAGUAAAAAACCUAAC